rnacentral:rRNA from 1 species
CAAUAGCGUAUAUUUAAGUUGUUGCAGUUAAAAAGCUCGUAGUCGGAUUUUGGCUGAGAACGAACGGUCCGCCGUUAGGUGUGCACUGUUUGGUCUCAGCUUCCUGGUGAGGAGGUGUGCUUCACGGUCACUUAGUCACCGUGGUUACUUUGAAAAAAUUAGAGUGUUCAAAGCGGGCUUACGCUUGAAUAUAUUAGCAUGGAAUAACACCAUAGGACUCCUGUCCUAUUUCGUUGGUCUCGGGACGGGAGUAAUGAUUAAGAGGAACAGUUGGGGGCAUUCGUAUUUCAUUGUCAGAGGUGAAAUUCUUGGAUUUAUGAAAGACGAACUUCUGCGAAAGCAUUUGCCAAGGAUGUUUUCAUUGA